GGACACUUAAGCUCUGAUACCAAAAUUGGGCCAUAUCCCAUAUACAGUAUGUCAGCAGCUUUCAGUCCCUUCUGGGAAGCCAGGAACUUCCUGAUGAGAUCAUGGAUGCCAUAUUUCACCUGUUCAGCAUGAAGACACCAGGCUUAGUGGCAAUCAAUAGCCACACCUUAAACGAUAUUCUUGAUGGGAAGGUCAGAGCAAGAAGUCAUAGUUUUGUCAAAAAUAACAUUCUUAAAAAAGCAGAAGUUGUUAUUGGUCCAUACCUGGAGGGAGGGAAUCACUGGACUUUCUUUCACUGCAACAUCGCUGGUAGAACAAUAAACUACCUAAAUUCUUUUGGUGAGCGGAAAGAGAGUUGUCAAAAA